rnacentral:pre_miRNA from 13 species
UUUUACAGUUCCUGCAUUGUACACACUGUGCAAAUCAUUUCUGGAAGCACAGCGCAUACAAUGUGGAUGCUGUGCUG